rnacentral:rRNA from 1 species
AGCAGCCGCGGUAAUUCCAGCUCCAAUAGCGUAUAUUAAAGUUGCUGCAGUUAAAAAGCUCGUAGUUGAAUUUCGGGACUAAUAUGUCGGUCGUGCCUCGGUACGUACUGGUAUUUUUGGUUUCUCCCUUCUGACGAACCUUGAUGUCAUUAAUUUGGUGUCUUGGGAAAUCAGGACUGUUACUUUGAAAAAAUUAGAGUGUUUAAAGCAGGCUCACGCUUGAAUACAUUAGCAUGGAAUAAUGAAAUAGGACGUUUGAUUCUAUUUUGUUGGUUUCUAGGAUCGACGUAAUGAUUAAUAGGGAUAGUUGGGGGCAUUAGUAUUCAAUUGUCAGAGGUGAAAUUCUUGGAUUUAUUGAAGACUAACUACUGCGAAAGCAUUUGCCAAGGAUGUUUUUAUUAAUCAAGAACGAAAGUUAGGGGAUCGAAGACGAUCAGAUACCGUCGUAGUCUUAACCAUAAACUAUGCCGACUAGGGAUCGGAUGAUGUUAAUUUUUUAAUGACUCA